rnacentral:rRNA from 1 species
UCCGUAGGGUGCGAGCGUUAAUCGGAAUUACUGGGCGUAAAGCGUACGCAGGCGGCUGCGCAAGACAGAUGUGAAAUCCCCGGGCCUAACCUGGGAACUGCAUUUGUGACUGCGCAGCUCGAGUCCGUCAGCGGGGGGUGGAAUUCCACGUGUAGCAGUGAAAUGCGUAGAGAUGUGGAGGAACACCGAUGGCGAAGGCAGCCCCCUGGGAUGAGACUGACGCUCAGGUACGAAAGCGUGGGGAGAAAACAGG